rnacentral:rRNA from 1 species
UACGAAGGGGGCUAGCGUUGUUCGGAAUCACUGGGCGUAAAGGGCGCGUAGGCGGCUUUCUAAGUCGGGGGUGAAAGCCUGUGGCUCAACCACAGAAUUGCCUUCGAUACUGUAGAGCUUGAGACCGGAAGAGGUAAGUGGAACUGCGAGUGUAGAGGUGAAAUUCGUAGAUAUUCGCAAGAACACCAGUGGCGAAGGCGGCUUACUGGUCCGGUUCUGACGCUGAGGCGCGAAAGCGUGGGGAGCAAACAGG